UGGCAGUGUGUUCCAAUUUCCCAAUUCUCAUAGAGAAGAUUAGCACCUCCGCAGCGCAAGGAUGACACGCAAAUUCGUGAAGCGUUCCUCAUUUUG
rnacentral:snRNA from 1 species